rnacentral:rRNA from 1 species
GACGAAGGUGGCGACCGUUGUUCGGAAUCACUGGGCAUAAAGAGCUCGUAGGCGGUGAGGAAAGUCGGGUGUGAAAUCCCUCGGCCCAACCGAGGAACUGCGCUCGAAACUGCCUUGCUUGAGGACGGAAGGGGACCACGGAAUUCCUGGUGGAGCGGUGAAAUGCGUUGAUAUCAGGAGGAACACCGGUGGCGAAGGCGGUUCUCUGGGCAUGUCCUGACACUGAAACGCGAAAGCCAGGGGAGCAAACGGG